rnacentral:misc_RNA from 1 species
CACAAUAACAUAUGAAGGCCGUACGCAGCUGCGCCCCCGGGCCAGUUGGCGGAGGCUGGAGUAUUUAUUACCCUUGUCUUUUGCGCACUUGUUGUUUCCUGGGCGGGUCCGCCCGCCACCAGGACCACAUAAUAAACCUUUUUUAUGCAGUUGCAGUCAGCGUCAGUACAACAAAUAAUUUA